rnacentral:rRNA from 1 species
GAUGAACGCUGGCGGCGUGCCUAAUACAUGCAAGUCGAGCGAACGGACGAGAAGCUUGCUUCUCUGAUGUUAGCGGCGGACGGGUGAGUAACACGUGGAUAACCUACCUAUAAGACUGGGAUAACUUCGGGAAACCGGAGCUAAUACCGGAUGAUAUUUUGAACCGCAUGGUUCAAAAGUGAAAGACGGUCUUGCUGUCACUUAUAGAUGGAUCCGCGCUGCAUUAGCUAGUUGGUAAGGUAACGGCUUACCAAGGCAACGAUGCAUAGCCGACCUGAGAGGGUGGACGGCCCCACUGGAACUGAGAAACGGUCCAGACUCCUACGGGAGGCAGCAGUAGGGAAUCUUCCGCAAUGGGCGAAAGCCUGACGGAGCAACGCCGCGUGAGUGAUGAAGGUCUUCGGAUCGUAAAACUCUGUUAUUAGGGAAGAACAUAUGUGUAAGUAACUGUGCACAUCUUGACGGUACCUAAUCAGAAAGCCACGGCUAACUACGUG